AAGGCCCAUGUCAUUCCAACAUUAACCACAAUAAUCUGGUAUCAUAAUAAGAGCAAAAAUGAACCGACAUAACCUGGCUGGGAGUCGAGUCUUAGCAACGACGCGUUAUUUAGUUAACUGAUUAAAAUAGUGCCGGCUGAGAUGAUCACAAUCAUACUUCUUUUUCAAUGAAAAACAAAACAGAUACACAAGUGCAGAGACUUACAGACCUCACAGAGGGUCUGUCUUCUUCUUUUUUCUUUUUUUUAAAGAGCGGUUAUAAUAAUAAGAGCUUUAAUCUGCCUUUGCAACUAACUACAUUACAGGAAGUACACACACUGAAGGCUUCACAAAGAAAAACUGUUCUGUACAUCGAUUCAGCCAAAGCAUCCAAGCACAUUUCCACCGUUACAAACAGCCUGAACAGUGCAAUCAACUCAGCUAGCUGCCCUCGUGUCUGGAGUUCACCGGCUUUGACAGCAGCCUGUAGGAGAUCCCCGUUUAUCCCACAAAUGUAGCCGAAUGACGAAACACUGACUCAGAACAGACUCAAGUAUUUUAAAGGGAACCUAUUAUGUUUUUCCUUUUUUUUUUUUCGUCACAGGUGUACACCUACAAUUCAGCAUCAAACUGCACAGACUCGAUCAGAUGCACAGGCGCUCACGGAGCAGCUGGCAGAAGGUCAAAUCCUGAGAAACCACCUCAGGAUUUGAAGUGACUCAGUCUGUCUUUGGGAGGUGUGUGUGUGUGUGUGUGUGUGCGUGUGUGUGCGGGCAACACAAUUAGUGAGCAGUUGCCAUGGCAACAGAAACGCCAACAACAGUUGAGCUGUUUCUGCAGUAGUAAAUAAACUGCAAACCCUCAGCCUGGAUUAAGAUAUUAUCAUAUGUGCAUUUGUGAUGCAAUAAAAAUGUUAUUUUUAAAUACUGAUUAUGAUCAUUGUCAGUAAUGUUAUAUUGGCACCUCUUAUUAAAACCAUUAUUGUUUAUAAAUCUGAAGCAAAAGUUUAAACUUCAGACUGCUUUAAACUCAGUUUUUUUUUCUACUCUUGGCUCUGCAUGAAGUCAGAGAGAGUGGAUAUCCCUAAUAUGGUCAUCUGACAACAGAAGUCCCACCCACCUGUAUAGGGGGAGGGGCAAUUCAGAACAAAAGGGGAAGAGCUAAAACUGUUUGUUUCAGAUAAGCAAGGUUGAUUAUGAUUGUUUUAUUUUAAGCUUUCAAUUAUUUUAUUGAAUCUGUAUGUUAUGGAUUUAACUUAUGAGUUUCAUAAUUUUUUACUAUGCUAUUGUUGCUCGUUUUUUCUUUUCCCAUGCUAAAAUUCACAGCCUAUACAGAGGUUUGGCAAGAACCAGCACAUCGUGCUUCCUCCUGGAGGGAAAUCUGCAGUAUAAAUGAUGUUUUGCUUGCUUUUUAGGGAUUAUUUUGAAUUCUGAAUCACACAAAGUGACUCUAGUAGCAGUAAACAGAAUAGGUUCCCUUUAACUUCAGUUCAAAUAAGUACAAUAAACAGUAGUUUUUAGAAAACCUUCAGUCUGGAGUAAAUCCAAAUAAAAUAAAAAGUACAUCUGUGACAAAACAAAUUCAAACCUUCACUGGCUGUUAAUCUCUUUAUAUACUAAACACGACCGAUUGUGUCCUCUCUUACUGCAUACAUGCUGUGAAGCAGACCGGAUCACCUCGUGAGCGCUUUCCAAGAUGUCCAGGAGAAGAUCCGAUCUGCCCACGAGGAGUCUGUGAUCUUUUGGUUUGU
ensembl:lncRNA